UUAACCUUUAAAUAGAUGAUCGGUAUGUAUUUCGAGAAAAAACGGACAGACGAUGCGUCUCCGUUUUAGUUAUCGGGGAACAGCGCCGCUGGGCAGAAAAAUAGAAGAUCAUCAAACGGUGUUGUCGUGACGAUUCGGCCCAGUCGAGUAGCGAAGAGCGUAGAGCGUAGAGCGUAGCUGCGCAGAGCCGAAGGGCGAAGAAAAGAGAACGGAGAGGGGGAGAGGCAGCCAUGGAGGAAGCAGGAAUUCUGGAACCCUACGAGCUCCGUUACUCGGAUCUCAUGUGGUUGUGUUCAGAGGAUGUUUCAUCACCAUCAUCAUCGCCAUCGUCGUCAGCUGCAGCAGAAGAGAUCGAACGGGUUGAUUCGAUUACCAGAGCUAUAAUGGAUGCACUAGGACCCGCAGGUCCUGGUUUACUUACCAUCACUGGUGUUCCAAACGCAUCUGUUCUUCGCCACAACCUCCUUCCUCUCGCAUCCAAGCUUGCUCUUCUCAAUAACGAAGACCGCAAGCGCAUUCUCAAAGAGCAUGGUUUGGGAAGUGAUGUUCCUUUGAAGAACCUGGAUAGAACUGUCUCUUCUUUUGCAAUGCAACUAAAUUAUGUACAAGCUAUGGAAUCCAUUCAGUGUGAACCAAGUCAAAAAGGCGAUGGCGUUCAAAGGUCAAAACAUUAUCAAUCAAAUGUUGAUAGGUCAGGAGAAUGUCAAGAAAAUGAAUUUAGCAAUCUUGGAAGUACUUUUAAGGAGCUAGGAUUUCGCAUGAUGGAGCUGGGGCUCUGCAUUGCCAAAGUUUGUGAUAGGGCCUUUGGUAGUCGAGAACUGGAGCAAAGUGUAUUAGAAUCAUGCUCAGCAAAAGGACGUCUUAUACACUAUCAUUCAACUGUGGACAACCUUAUAAUUAAACAAAAUGCGAGAAAAUAUGGAUCAGUCAAAUGGCAAGCCAAUCAUAAAGUUCGUGUUCCUUGUGUAUCGAGAAAUUUAGAGGGCUCCAUCAGGGAUGUGCAAAGAUCAGCAGAGGGCCAUAACUUGGAUAUGAGUGGGAAGGACGAUAAUCCAUGGGGAAAUCACUCCAACCUGUGGCAGCAGUGGCAUUAUGAUUAUGGGAUAUUCACUGUUCUUACAGCACCAUUGUUUACAUUCCCACAUCAUCAACCAAUGGCAAAAGCAAAGGAUUUUUUCUCAGCAUCUUAUGAGCAAGAUUGUCUUUCUCCAACUGGUAGUACUUAUUUGCAAAUAUUUUAUCCCAACAAGAAUAAUGUCUUGACUGUGAGGGCUCCUCCUGAAAGUUUCAUUGUCCAGGUGGGUGAAUCGGCAGAUGUAUUAUCUAAAGGGAAGCUUCGUUCAACUCUUCACUCAGUUUGUAGACCAGAAAAUUUGGAAAACUUAAGCAGAGAGACAUUUGUUGUCUUCUUGCACCCAGCUUGGAGCAAAACUCUCUAUAUCUCAGAUUACCCCAUGGAACACUGUACAUUGUGUGAUAAGUGUUCUCAGUUGUGCGAUGAGGAAGUUCCAUCUGCCAAGCAGGAACGCCAUACUCUAACUCAAGAUAUCUAUAAGAUGGUUCCACCACUUUCAUCACGGCUGAAGGAUGGAAUGACAUUUGCAAAAUUCUCACGUGAAACCACCAAGCAGUACUAUGGUGGGAAUGGAUUGCAGUCGAACAGGUGAUCAUGACAUGUAAAUGUGCAAAAGACAUAUGAGAAGAGUUUGAUAGGAGGUAUGGAGAGACCAAGAAAGAAAUAGCCACCUCUUCGGAUGCUCCUAUGAUAAAAAAGGAGAAAGGUUGUUUUUUAUUGCAUUAGCAGAUGAAGAGGAGCCCUAGAUAGAAAAGCGGAUAGAGCUCCGCAACGUUAGAGGUCGACUGUUCUACCUUGUUAGAAGGAUAAGUCAUUUUGUUAGGGUCUGAUGGAUUUUUGGGUUGUGACCCUAGGACACUUUUGAGUUAUUUUGGAUGUGUGUAUGUAUUUAAUAGUUUUAGUAAAACUCUGGUAUUGUGUUGGUUGGAGGAUUUGACAUGUAUAUGAUUUUAUGUUUUCCGCUGCUUAUGUAUCAGUGUUGUAUUU